rnacentral:rRNA from 1 species
UACGUAGGGGACAAGCGUUGUCCGGAAUCACUGGGCGUAAAGGGCGCGUAGGCGGUUUUAUAAGUCAGAUGUGAAAGGUACCGGCUCAACCGGUGACGUGCAUUUGAAACUGUAAGACUUGAGUACUGGAGAGGCAAGUGGAAUUCCUAGUGUAGCGGUGAAAUGCGUAGAUAUUAGGAGGAACACCGGUGGCGAAGGCGGCUUGCUGGACAGAUACUGACGCUGAGGUGCGAAAGCGUGGGGAGCGAACAGGAUUAGAUACC